rnacentral:rRNA from 1 species
GGGGAAUAUUGGACAAUGGGCGCAAGCCUGAUCCAGCAAUGCCGCGUGAGUGAUGAAGGCCUUAGGGUUGUAAAGCUCUUUCGCACGCGACGAUGAUGACGGUAGCGUGAGAAGAAGCCCCGGCUAACUUCGUGCCAGCAGCCGCGGUAAUACGAAGGGGGCUAGCGUUGUUCGGAAUUACUGGGCGUAAAGGGCGCGUAGGCGGCCUGUUUAGUCAGAAGUGAAAGCCCCGGGCUCAACCUGGGAAUAGCUUUUGAUACUGGCAGGCUUGAGUUCCGGAGAGGAUGGUGGAAUUCCCAGUGUAGAGGUGAAAUUCGUAGAUAUUGGGAAGAACACCGGUGGCGAAGGCGGCCAUCUGGACGGACACUGACGCUGAGGCGCGAAAGCGUGGGGAGCAAAC